AUUUUUACUUGGAGGUUGUCUCCUUUGGGGACUUUUCUAGCAAGUUCUUUUCUGCUGAACAGGGGUCCAGGCUGGCUUUUUUUUGCCUUACCCCAGUUGUGAGCUGGCAAACAUCUCCCAGAAGAUAAAUCUAAGCGGUCCUUGUGCACUUACAGAUACAUCAUAGCUUGUCUGCAUCUGGAUCUCAAUGUGCAGAACGCACAGGCAAAAAUUUGUUGUUGGGUUUGUGUUUUGCACUCUCUUCCCCCAUCCAGAAACCAUUUGUGAAGGACAAUUUAUGCUGGCAGAUUUGAGAUCUGUUUCACCUACUGCACCUGCAGGCUUCCCAGGAAGCAAUGUCUUCUCCUUCUCAGUAUACAGCUCAAUCUCUUAAGAAGAACCAACAUACCUUAGACCAACAGACUCUCCAGAUUCAUGAACUACUUUCUCAUGAUGCUUGCUUGUCUUUGAGAUGGGGCUAGAGUAGGAUUAUUUUGCCUGUAAACAAUGACCUGAUCAGGCUUGCAGACUUGCUUUGUGCACUGCAAUAUUCAUCAUAACUUUUCUAUGAGGAUGGAAACUAGUAUUUCCCACUUUUAAAACAAAAGUUUAAACCUACAAGUAUACUUCAGUCUUUGUUUGUAAUGUAAGCUCUGCUACUAACUACACAAAGAAGAACAAUUAGUUGCAUUACUACUGCUGUCACCCUGAAUUCACCUGUAAAUAUCCAUUCCAUCUUCACAAAACCACUAUGUGCAUCAGAAGUUCCUAGUAGGGUGCUAUGUCCAACGUAGUUAUUUCAUUUAUCUUCACAUUGACUGUCUUUUUCAAGAAAUUCCUUCCUCAAAUCUACUAGUAAGCAUAAGCUUCCCAAUGGGAAUUUUCUAAUAUUACUUUUUUUUUUGAGUGUCUGCUUUCCAAUGUAGGAAGAAAAAUAAUAAACAUUUAUUAGAAACUGUUUGGGGAAAAUGCUGAAUCUUUAAAAACAUAAAUAGAUUUUCAUGCUUUCAUCAAAAAGAUAAAACCUUAAUCAUAUUUGCAAGCUUUUCCAGAAACACAGAAGCUGCUUGUAUUAGGAGCAAAAAACUUCUCCAAAAAGUUCGAGCAGUAUGUUGUGUAUAUCAAUGAACUUUGAGCUUAUAUUGUUUCUUCACAAAUAAAGGAUGUC
ensembl:lncRNA